GAGACUGUCAGCGAACUCCCUAGAAAACUUGCUAGAAAUUGAAGAUCUCCCAGAGGAAUCAUCAAGCAGUACUGUUGAAGUGGGAAAGAGUGGUGUAUCGGAUUUCCAAGAAAUUUUAAAAGCAAAAUCAAGAAAGAGGAAGACAGCUGCUCAGACUGUU